rnacentral:rRNA from 1 species
GACGAACGCUGGCGGCGUGCUUAACACAUGCAAGUCGAACGAAGUGGCGAACGGGUGAGUAAUACGUGGGUAACCUGCCCUCCUUUUUGGGAUAAGACUUGGAAACGGGGUCUAAUACCGAAUAAAGGGGGAUGGGCUCGCGGCCUAUCAGCUUGUUGGUGGGGUGGUGACCUACCAAGGCGGUGACGGGUAGCCGGGCUGAGAGGGUGACCUGCAACAUUGGGACUGAGAGACGGCCCAGACUCGUACGGGAGGGAGCAGGGGGGAAUAGUGCACGAUGGGCGAAAGCAUGAUGCAGCGUCGCCGCGAGGGGGAUGAAGGCUGUGGGGUUGUAAACGUCUUUCGCAAGCGAACGGGUAGGUGGAGAAGAAGCGCCGGCUAACUACGUGCCAGCAGCCGCGGUAAUUC